rnacentral:rRNA from 1 species
UACGUAGGCGGAUCAGAAAGUAUAGGGUGAAAUCCCAGGGCUCAACCCUGGAACUGCCUUAUAAACUCCUGGUCUUGGGUUCGAGAGAGGUGAGUGGAAUUCCAAGUGUAGAGGUGAAAUUCGUAGAUAUUUGGAGGAACACCAGUGGCGAAGGCGGCUCACUGGCUCGAUACUGACGCUGAGGUACGAAAGUGUGGGGAGCAAACAGGAUUAGAUACCCUGGUAGUCC